rnacentral:rRNA from 1 species
AUGCCUUGUCCAUGUGCUGGCUGUAAGAAUGGUCACAGUUACUCUACGCCAAGAACCAUUCACGUCCACCUAUUUGAGUCCGGUUUCAUGCCCCACUAUAAUGUUUGGACCAAGCACGGAGAAAUAAGGGUUAUGAUGGAAGACAAUGAAGAAGAAGAGGACGACGACGGCUAUCCUGGCCAUGGGUUCCCUGAAUACCAUGAUACAACAAUGGGGGAAGAAGCUGAGCCGGCAAUGCGGGAAGAAGCUGAAGAAGAGGCAUCAGAUGAGCCCGCUGAUGAUCUAGGUCGGGCCAUUGCCGAUGCAAAGAGAAACUGCGCAAGUGAUCUGGAGAGGACGAAGUUACAGCGCAUGUUAGAGGAUCACAAGAAAUUGUUGUACCCGAAUUGCGAAGCUGACAAAAAAAAGUUGGGCACCACACUUGAAUUGCUGCAAUGGAUGGCAGAGAAUGGUGUAUCUGACAAGGGAUUUGGAAAGUUGCUAGUAAUGAUAAAGAAUAUGCUUCCAAAGGACAACAAAUUGCCCGAGAGUACGUAUGAAGCAAAGAAGGCUGCCUGCCCUCUAGGGUUAGAGGUGCAAAAGAUACAUGCAUGUCGUAAUGACUGCAUCCUCUACCGCAGUGAGUACGAGGAUUUGAACGCUUGCCCGGUAUGCGGUGCAUUGCGUUAUAAGAUCAGGCGCGAUGACCCUGGUGAUGUCGAGGGCGAGUGCCCCAGGAAAAAGAUUCCCGCCAAGGUGAUGUGGUAUGCUCCUAUAAUACCACGAUUGAAACGUUUGUUCCAAAACAAAGAGCAUGCGAAGGCGAUGCAGUGGCACGCAGAAGACCGUAAGAAAGACGGAAACUUGAGAGUACCCGCUGACGGUUCGCAGUAG